GCUGGGUGUGGUGGUGCACACCUAUAAUCCCAGAUACUCAGGAGGCUGAGGCAGGAGAAUUGCUUGAACCCAGGAGGCCGAGGUUGUAGUGAGCUGAGAUCGCACCACUGCACUCCAGCCUGGGCAACAAAGCGAGACUCUGUCUCAA
rnacentral:SRP_RNA from 2 species